GACGAACGCUGGCGGCGUGCCUAAUACAUGCAAGUCGAGCGAAUCAGUGGGAGCUUGCUCCCUGAGAUUAGCGGCGGACGGGUGAGUAACGCGUGGGCAACCUGGCCUUAAGAAAAGGAUAGCCCCCGGAAACGGGGAGUAAUACUUUAUGAGAAUGAAAGAGGGCAUCCUACUUUCAUUCAAAGCGCAAGCGCUUAAGGAUGGGCCCGCGUAUCAUUAGCUAGUUGGUGAGAUAACAGCCCACCAAGGCAACGAUGAUUAGCCGGUCUGAGAGGGCGAACGGCCACAUUGGAACUGAGAGACGGUCCAAACUCCUACGGGAGGCAGCAGUGGGGAAUAUUGCGCAAUGGAGAAGAACUCUGACGCAGCAAUACCGCGUGAGCGAAGGAGGUCUUCGGAUCGUAAAGCUCUGUUAUCAGGGAAGAAGAAAAUGACGGUACCUGAUGAGCAAGUCCCGGCUAACUACGUGCCAGCCGCCGCCGUAA
rnacentral:rRNA from 1 species